GGGGUUCGUGUCACUCCAACCCCUGUGACAUACCAAUUGUUGCCUCGGCGGAUCAGCCCGCUCCCGGUAAAACGGGACGGCCCGCCAGAGGACCCCUAAACUCUGUUUCUAUAUGUAACUUCUGAGUAAAACCAUAAAUAAAUCAAAACUUUCAACAACGGAUCUCUUGGUUCUGGCAUCGAUGAAGAACGCAGCAAAAUGCGAUAAGUAAUGUGAAUUGCAGAAUUCAGUGAAUCAUCGAAUCUUUGAACGCACAUUGCGCCCGCCAGUAUUCUGGCGGGCAUGCCUGUUCGAGCGUCAUUUCAACCCUCAAGCCCCCGGGUUUGGUGUUGGGGAUCGGCGAGCCCUUGCGGCAAGCCGGCCCCGAAAUCUAGUGGCGGUCUCGCUGCAGCUUCCAUUGCGUAGUAGUAAAACCCUCGCAACUGGUACGCGGCGCGGCCAAGCCGUUAAACCCCCAACUUCUGAAUGUUGACCUCGGAUCAGGUAGGAAUACCCGCUGAACUUAAGCAUAUCAAUAAGCGGAGGAA
rnacentral:rRNA from 1 species